rnacentral:lncRNA from 1 species
AUGGGGGCACCGGGGCGCGCAGGCGGCCGGGGAAGGGCCGGGGGACGCAGGGGGCGCUCGGGGCGAGACCCGGGCGCGGGGGCGCACAGGCGACGGGGAGGGGUCGGGGAAGGGUCGGGGAGCGCGGGGUCGGUCGGGGCGGACUCUCGGGGCGGGCCCCGGGCGCGAAGGCACUGGGCGCACGGGCUGCUGGGCGGGCCCGGGGCGCUGGGGCGCGGCGGCCGGGAGGAAGUGCGGGGCCUGCCCGGGCGCGUUAAGGAAGUUGCCGAAAAUGAGGAAGCGCCUCGCGCUGGGCGGCUGAGGCGACUCCAGCGGCCGGAGGAGCGAGGAGGAGCGGGCGGCCCCGCGCUGCGCCCCGAGCCGCCCCGGCCCCGCGCCCCGCGCCCCGCCCUCGGCUCACCUGGCACAGAACCAUCAAGUGGCUCAAGAAAGAUCUUCGCCCUGUCCAUCCAGUUAUCAAAUCCAUCUAUCGAAGCUGUUAUAUUGCAGCAAGCCGGUGCUGCUGCGUACGUUCAAAGAGGAACUCACCACUUCCUUUUUUCGUUGUUAGCCACCCCAAUCAGCUGA